AUAUUGAACAAUGGAGGAAACUCUGAUGCAGCGACGCCGCGUGAGUGAAGAAGGUCUUCGGAUCGUAAAACUCUGUCCUUGGUGCAGAAAAGGACGGUAGCCAAGGAGGAAGCCCCGGCUAACUACGCUCCAGCAGCCGCGGUAAUACGUAGGGGGCGAGCGUUGUCCGGAUUUACUGGGCGUAAAGGGUGAGUAGGCGGUUGUAUAUGUCAGGUGUAAAAGGCACAGGCUUAACUUGUGUUAGCACUUGAAACUGUACGACUUGAGUGCAGGAGAGGUAAGCGGAAUUCCUAGUGUAGCGGUGAAAUGCGUAGAUAUUAGGAGGAACACCAGUGGCGAAGGCGGCUUACUGGACUGUAACUGACGCUGAGUCACGAAAGCGUGGGUAGCAAACA
rnacentral:rRNA from 1 species